AGUGAACGCUGGCGGUAGGCCUAACACAUGCAAGUCGAACGGCAGCCCCGUAAGAGCGUGCUCUUACGGGUGGCGAGUGGCGGACGGGUGAGGAAUACAUCGGAAUCUACUUUUUCGCGGGGGGUAACGUAGGGAAACUUACGCUAAUACCGCAUACGACCUACGGGUGAAAGCAGGGGAUCUUCGGGCCUUGCGCUAUUUAGUGAGCCGAUGUCUGAUUAGCUAGGUGGCGGGGUAAAGGCUCACCAAGGCGACGAUCCGUAGCUGGUCUGAGAGGAUGAACCACCACACUAGGACUGAGGCACCGUCCAGACUGCGACGGGGGGCCGGAGUGGGGAAUAAUGGGCGAUAGGAGCAAGGCUUAUUCAGCCAUGCCGGGUAGGGUGAGAAAGCCUUGCGGUUGGGAAGCCCUUUUGUUGGGAAAGAAAAACAUCAGGUUAAUACCCCGCUGUUCUGACGGUACCCAAAGAAUAAGCACCGGCUAACUUCGUG
rnacentral:rRNA from 1 species